UGUCACGUUACUUGAGGUUCUCUCUCUC
rnacentral:sRNA from 1 species